rnacentral:tRNA from 1 species
GGCCUCGUAGCUCAGUUGGUUAGAGCUUUGGCUGUACUAAAGCCUUCCCCUUGCUGUUUUGGGUUCGAAUCCCACCGAGGUCG